AUUCGUCUUCGGGGCAGGGUGAAAUUCCCGACCGGCGGUAAUGAAGCUUUUUUAUCAUGCUUAUUAGCCCGCGAGCCUAGAAAUUUUGGGCAGGAUUUGGUGAGAUUCCAAAGCCGACAGUACAGUCUGGAUGGGAGAAGAUGGAG
rnacentral:ncRNA from 2 species